UUUGGGAUGAAACUUAUUCUCUGCCACUCCAACAUCAAGUGAAAGCUACGUGGAUCUCAGCAAGUAUUUGUGUUUAGACCCAGAGACAUUUGGCCUUCUGUUCCUAUCAAAAUUAAAAGGAAUUUAUAUACUGGCAGGGAUGGCAGCAUACUCCAGAGAUAUUUGUGUGCGAGCAUCCAGUGUGUGAUACACUGGUUAUUCUUCAUAAUUUUGAAGUAAUGAAGAUAAAUCAACACAUCAGUCCAGGUUUACUAAUAAAUACUAUUCGGGUGUGCGCUUUCAUAGCAAUGAUACGAGGUGCAUCCUUUGAUUUGGAGAAGCUGACAGUAGCAAACACUUUAUUAUUGGAGUGAUAUGUAUCUUAAAUCUAAAUUAGAGACCAGUGCUAAAGCAGUUGUGUUUCUCACUGUUGCAUCAAUCAUGAAAUGUUACGAGUAUUUGCACCCCCAAAUAUACUCCUUGAAUUAAACGGGUUUGAUUCAGCUCCCAUUUUUGUUUGUAAGUUAACCGAAGUGAACCACCCGAAAGUAUUGUCAUCAGUUCAUAGAA